AUUUCAGUGGUGUAGUGAUAGCAAGCGUCCCCGAUAUGGGUGAAACACGGGUUCGACUCCCGUCUGAGGUC